rnacentral:tRNA from 1 species
GCCGGGAUGGUGGAAUUGGUAUACACGGCGCACUCAAAAUGCGCUGGCUUCGGCCUUGUGGGUUCGAGUCCCACUCCCGGCA